rnacentral:rRNA from 1 species
CGCUAGCGGCAGGCUUAAUACAUGCAAGUCGAGGGGCAGCGCAUGUGUAUGCAAUACAUGGGCGGCGACCGGCAAACGGGUGCGGAACACGUACGCAACUUACCCAAAACUGAUGAAUAGCCCUCCGAAAGGAGGAUUAAUACAUCGUAACCUAUUGAAGUGGCAUCACUUUAUUAGUAUAUGCUCCGGCGGYUUUGGAUGGGCGUGCGGYUGAUUAGAUAGUUGGCGGGGUAACUGGCCCACCAAGUACUGCGAUCAGUAACUGGUGUGAGAGCACGACCAGUUCACACGGGCACUGAGACACGGGCCCGACUCCUACGGGAGGCAGCAGUAAGGAAUAUUGGUCAAUGGACGCAMGUCUGAACCAGCCAUGCCGCGUGAAGGAUGAAGGUCCUCUGGAUUGYAAACUUCUUUUGAAUGGGACGAAACCCUGGUNUUCUUACCAGAUUGACGGUACCAUUAGAAUAAGCACCGGCUAACUCCGUGCCAGCAGCCGUGGUWAUACGGAGGGUGCAAGCGUUAUUCGGAUUCACUGGGUUUAAAGGGUGCGUAGGAGGGUCUGUAAGUCAGCGGUGAAAUCUCUGAGCUUAACUCGGAAACUGCCAUUGAUACUAUAGAUCUUGAAUACCGUGGAGGUGAGCGGAAUAUGUCAUGUAGCGGUGAAAUGCUUAGAUAUGACAUAGAACACCAAUUGCGAAGGCAGCUCACUACACGCAUAUUGACUCUGAGGCACGAAAGCGUGGGGAUCAAACAGGAUUAGAUACCCUGGUAGUCCACGCCCUAAACUAUGGAUACUCGACAUACGCGAUACACAGUGUGUGUCUGAGCGAAAGCAUUAAGUAUCCCACCUGGGAAGUACGACCGCAAGGUUGAAACUCAAAGGAAUUGGCGGGGGUCCGCACAAGCGGGGGGGAGCAUGGGGGUUUAUUCGAUGAUACGCGAGGAACCUUACCUGGGCUAGAAUGCGGUUUGACCGUGGGUGAAAGCUCAUUUUGUCGCAAGACACAGAUCGUAAGGUGCUGCAUGGCUGUCGUCAGCUCGUGCCGUGAGGUGUUGGGUUAAGUCCCGCAACGAGCGGCAACCCCAUCAGUAAGUGCCAUCAGGGUACGCUGGGAACUCUACUGAAACUGCCGUCGUAAGACGCGAGGAAAGAAGGGAUGAUGUCAAGUCAUCAUGGNCUUUAUGCCCAGGGCUACACACGUGCUACAAUGGGGCGUACAAAGGGCUGGCACUUAGUGAUAA